rnacentral:rRNA from 1 species
AUGGGCGAGCCCGCCGAUGGUUUCUUCCUCCGCCUUCCGCCGGAGCUCGUGGACGAGAUCCUACUCCGCCUUCCGCCGGACGAGCCCGCCUGCCUCGUCCGCGCCUCCGCCGUCUGCAAGCCCUGGCGCCGCUUCUUCGCCAACGCGAACUUUCGCGGCCGCUACCGCGAGUUCCACGGGGCACCUCCCGUCCUGGGGCUCGUCCAAGAGGCCGCAAGCUUCCUCGCCAUAUCUGCGCUUCCAACCCUACCAGACCUUUCACACUUGGUCGCCGCUGCCCUGAAGGCCCUGGACUGCCGCCACGGACGCUACGUCUUUGACUCAUACGACCAGUACUGGCAGGGGGAUACCGUUCACCUGACCGUCCUGGACCCUCUGACGGGCCAUGGGCAUCACAUUCCCACACCGAUGGACAAUCGUUUGCUCUGGUACAGUGUGGCCGUGCUCUGCGCCACACAAGGCUGCGACCACCACGAUUGCCAGGGAGGACACUUCAGUGUGGUCAUCGUGACCACCAAUCACGAGCAAAGGGUGACCCUAGGUUGGCUCUACUCGUCCGAGACAGAGUUGUGGAGUGCUCUUACAAGUGUUUCCCAUCCAAAUGUCCUCAAGUAUAGUUAUAUCCGUGGCUCGCCUAGUGUGCUUGUGAGUGAUACCCUGUACUUUGACUUGGAUGGUAUCAUUCAGUGCCACCUUGGUUCCCGGUGUUUCUCCAUGCUCGAGAGACCCGCAGAUGGCAAGGGGUAUCUCAUGACAGCAGAAGACGGCGGACUGAGAUUCGCCACCAUGGUGGAUGUCACAAAUCUAACUCUGUGGUCAAUGCAAACCGGACUGGAAGGAGCCAUGGGAUGGGCAAAGUAA